UACGUAGGGUGCGAGCGUUAAUCGGAAUUACUGGGCGUAAAGCGUGCGCAGGCGGUUUUGUAAGACAGGCGUGAAAUCCCCGGGCUCAACCUGGGAACUGCGCUUGUGACUGCAAGGCUAGAGUAUGGCAGAGGGGGGUGGAAUUCCACGUGUAGCAGUGAAAUGCGUAGAGAUGUGGAGGAACACCAAUGGCGAAGGCAGCCCCCUGGGCCAAUACUGACGCUCAUGCACGAAAGCGUGGGUAGCAAACAGGAUUAGAUACCCUGGUAGUCCACGCCCUAAACGAUGUCAACUAGGUGUUGGGUGGGUAAAACCAUUUAGUACCGGAGCUAACGCGUGAAGUUGACCGCCUGGGGAGUACGGCCGCAAGGUUAAAACUCAAAGGAAUUGACGGGGACCCGCACAAGCGGUGGAUGAUGUGGAUUAAUUCGAUGCAACGCGAAAAACCUUACCUACCCUUGACAUGUUCAGAAGCCUGAAGAGAUUUGGGUGUGCCCGAAAGGGAACUGAAACACAGGUGCUGCAUGGCUGUCGUCAGCUCGUGUCGUGAGAUGUUGGGUUAAGUCCCGCAACGAGCGCAACCCUUGUCGUUAAUUGCCAUCAUUUGGUUGGGCACUUUAACGAGACUGCCGGUGACAAACCGGAGGAAGGUGGGGAUGACGUCAAGUCCUCAUGGCCCUUAUGGGUAGGGCUUCACACGUCAUACAAUGGUCGGUACAGAGGGUUGCCAAGCCGCGAGGUGGAGCCAAUCCCAGAAAGCCGAUCGUAGUCCGGAUUGCAGGCUGCAACUCGCCUGCAUGAAGUCGGAAUCGCUAGUAAUCGCGGAUCAGCAUGUCGCGGUGAAUACGUUCCCGGGUCU
rnacentral:rRNA from 1 species